GAAACCCAGCAUGAGUUAUGUCAUGUUAUCGAUAUGUGAAUACAUAGCAUAUCAGAAGGCACACCCGGAGAACUGAAACAUCUUAGUACCCGGAGGAAGAGAAAGAAAAUUCGAUUCCCUUAGUAGCGGCGAGCGAAACGGGAAGAGCCCAAACCAACAAGCUUGCUUGUUGGGGUUGUAGGACACUCUAUACGGAGUUACAAAGGACGACAUUAGACGAAUCAUCUGGAAAGAUGAAUCAAAGAAGGUAAUAAUCCUGUAGUCGAAAAUGUUGUCUCUCUUGAGUGGAUCCUGAGUACGACGGAGCACGUGAAAUUCCGUCGGAAUCUGGGAGGACCAUCUCCUAAGGCUAAAUACUCUCUAGUGACCGAUAGUGAACCAGUACCGUGAGGGAAAGGUGAAAAGCACCCCGGAAGGGGAGUGAAAUAGAACCUGAAACCGUGUGCUUACAAGUAGUCAGAGCCCGUUAAUGGGUGAUGGCGUGCCUUUUGUAGAAUGAACCGGCGAGUUACGAUUUGAUGCAAGGUUAAGCAGUAAAUGUGGAGCCGUAGCGAAAGCGAGUCUGAAUAGGGCGUUUAGUAUUUGGUCGUAGACCCGAAACCAGGUGAUCUACCCUUGGUCAGGUUGAAGUUCAGGUAACACUGAAUGGAGGACCGAACCGACUUACGUUGAAAAGUGAGCGGAUGAACUGAGGGUAGCGGAGAAAUUCCAAUCGAACCUGGAGAUAGCUGGUUCUCUCCGAAAUAGCUUUAGGGCUAGCCUCAAGUGAUGAUUAUUGGAGGUAGAGCACUGUUUGGACGAGGGGCCCCUCUCGGGUUACCGAAUUCAGACAAACUCCGAAUGCCAAUUAAUUUAACUUGGGAGUCAGAACAUGGGUGAUAAGGUCCGUGUUCGAAAGGGAAACAGCCCAGACCACCAGCUAAGGUCCCAAAAUAUAUGUUAAGUGGAAAAGGAUGUGGCGUUGCCCAGACAACUAGGAUGUUGGCUUAGAAGCAGCCAUCAUUUAAAGAGUGCGUAAUAGCUCACUAGUCGAGUGACACUGCGCCGAAAAUGUACCGGGGCUAAACAUAUUACCGAAGCUGUGGAUUGUCCUUUGGACAAUGGUAGGAGAGCGUUCUAAGGGCGUUGAAGCAUGAUCGUAAGGACAUGUGGAGCGCUUAGAAGUGAGAAUGCCGGUGUGAGUAGCGAAAGACGGGUGAGAAUCCCGUCCACCGAUUGACUAAGGUUUCCAGAGGAAGGCUCGUCCGCUCUGGGUUAGUCGGGUCCUAAGCUGAGGCCGACAGGCGUAGGCGAUGGAUAACAGGUUGAUAUUCCUGUACCACCUAUAAUCGUUUUAAUCGAUGGGGGGACGCAGUAGGAUAGGCGAAGCGUGCGAUUGGAUUGCACGUCUAAGCAGUAAGGCUGAGUAUUAGGCAAAUCCGGUACUCGUUAAGGCUGAGCUGUGAUGGGGAGAAGACAUUGUGUCUUCGAGUCGUUGAUUUCACACUGCCGAGAAAAGCCUCUAGAUAGAAAAUAGGUGCCCGUACCGCAAACCGACACAGGUAGUCAAGAUGAGAAUUCUAAGGUGAGCGAGCGAACUCUCGUUAAGGAACUCGGCAAAAUGACCCCGUAACUUCGGGAGAAGGGGUGCUCUUUAGGGUUAACGCCCAGAAGAGCCGCAGUGAAUAGGCCCAAGCGACUGUUUAUCAAAAACACAGGUCUCUGCUAAACCGUAAGGUGAUGUAUAGGGGCUGACGCCUGCCCGGUGCUGGAAGGUUAAGAGGAGUGGUUAGCUUCUGCGAAGCUACGAAUCGAAGCCCCAGUAAACGGCGGCCGUAACUAUAACGGUCCUAAGGUAGCGAAAUUCCUUGUCGGGUAAGUUCCGACCCGCACGAAAGGCGUAACGAUUUGGGCACUGUCUCAACGAGAGACUCGGUGAAAUCAUAGUACCUGUGAAGAUGCAGGUUACCCGCGACAGGACGGAAAGACCCCGUGGAGCUUUACUGUAGCCUGAUAUUGAAAUUCGGCACAGCUUGUACAGGAUAGGUAGGAGCCUUUGAAACGUGAGCGCUAGCUUACGUGGAGGCGCUGGUGGGAUACUACCCUAGCUGUGUUGGCUUUCUAACCCGCACCACUUAUCGUGGUGGGAGACAGUGUCAGGCGGGCAGUUUGACUGGGGCGGUCGCCUCCUAAAAGGUAACGGAGGCGCUCAAAGGUUCCCUCAGAAUGGUUGGAAAUCAUUCAUAGAGUGUAAAGGCAUAAGGGAGCUUGACUGCGAGACCUACAAGUCGAGCAGGGUCGAAAGACGGACUUAGUGAUCCGGUGGUUCCGCAUGGAAGGGCCAUCGCUCAACGGAUAAAAGCUACCCCGGGGAUAACAGGCUUAUCUCCCCCAAGAGUUCACAUCGACGGGGAGGUUUGGCACCUCGAUGUCGGCUCAUCGCAUCCUGGGGCUGUAGUCGGUCCCAAGGGUUGGGCUGUUCGCCCAUUAAAGCGGUACGCGAGCUGGGUUCAGAACGUCGUGAGACAGUUCGGUCCCUAUCCGUCGUGGGCGUAGGAAAUUUGAGAGGAGCUGUCCUUAGUACGAGAGGACCGGGAUGGACAUACCUCUGGUGUACCAGUUGUCGUGCCAACGGCAUAGCUGGGUAGCUAUGUGUGGACGGGAUAAGUGCUGAAAGCAUCUAAGCAUGAAGCCCCCCUCAAGAUGAGAUUUCCCAACUUCGGUUAU
rnacentral:rRNA from 1 species